rnacentral:rRNA from 1 species
AAUCAACGCUGGCGGCGUGCCUCAGACAUGCAAGUCGAACGCGAAAGUCCCCUUCGGGGGACAAGUAGAGUGGCGCACGGGUGAGUAACACGUGGGUAAUUUACCUUCGGGUGGGGAAUAACAGUACGGAAACGACUGCUAAUACCGCAUGAUGCAGCGGCACCACAUGGUGACAGUUGUUAAAGCGGGGGAUCGCAAGACCUCGCGCCUGAAGAGAAGCCCGCGGCAGAUUAGCUAGUUGGUAAGGUAAUGGCUUACCAAGGCAACGAUCUGUAGCCGGCCUGAGAGGGCGGUCGGCCACACUGACACUGAAUAACGGGUCAGACUCCUACGGAGGCAGCAGUCGGGAAUUUUUGGGCAAUGGGCGCAAGCCUGACCCACGCAACGCCGCGUGAAGGAUGAAGUA